GCAGAAUGGAAAACAUUGAAAGUUAAGAGUUAGUAGUCCAUUUCCUAUGUAGUAAAGUGAGAAAAUUUGCAGAGAAGGCUGAGAGUCAGAAAGUGAGGUCAGUUAUGAGAUUUAUAUAGAGUCUCUCCAGGGUUGGACUUUCCUUCUAUGCAGUAUAUUUGGUAGGCUAGAUUUGCAUCCACCCCUUUUCAACCUGCUGUAUUUAAGUGUUCUCAUUUUGACCUCAUAAUUAAAACAUCCGUGGUAAGGAUGUUUUUGUUUGGGAUUCCAUUAGUUCUUUCCAUUAGUAUAGGAACUAUUGGACUGUAUACUUUGAAAAGCAAUAUAUGCAUAUAAAUGAUAAGACCAAAGGUUAUUAUCUAAGUUAUUAGAUAAGGUUAUUAUCUAAGGUCUGUCUGCCUAGAUUUUUCUUGGUCUCUAGUUUAGCUUUCCUUCCUCCAAGGUAUGGGGCAGGAUCAGUUAGACAAUUUCUUUCUGGCCAGCUCUUACACAGAAAGGAGGAAGCUUAGCUUAAUAUUUUGAAGUUUUUGUGGAUGACUU
rnacentral:lncRNA from 1 species